rnacentral:rRNA from 1 species
UACGUAGGGGGCAAGCGUUGUCCGGAUCAUUGGGCGUAAAGCGCGUGUAGGCGGCUCGAUAAGUCCGCUCUGAAAGUCCAGGGCUCAACCCUGGGAUGCGGGUGGAUACUGUCGGGCUCGAGUCCGGAAGAGGCGAGUGGAAUUCCCGGUGUAGGCGGUGAAAUGCGCAGAUAUCGGGAGGAACACCAAUGGCGAAGGCAGCUCGC